UACGGAGGGUGCAAGCGUUAUCCGGAUUCACUGGGUUUAAAGGGUGCGUAGGCGGGCAGGUAAGUCCGUGGUGAAAUCUCUGAGCUUAACUCAGAAACUGCCAUGGAUACUAUUUGUCUUGAAUAUUGUGGAGGUGAGCGGAAUAUGUCAUGUAGCGGUGAAAUGUUUAGAUAUGACAUAGAACACCAAUUGCGAAGGCAGCUCACUACACAGUUAUUGACGCUGAGGCACGAAAGCGUGGGGAUCAAACAGG
rnacentral:rRNA from 1 species